rnacentral:rRNA from 3 species
UCUCCUGGGAAACGGGUGGUAAUGCCGGAUGCUCCAGUUGAUCGCAUGGUCUUCUGGGAAAGCUUUCGCGGUAUGGGAUGGGGUCGCGUCCUAUCAGCUUGACGGCGGGGUAACGGCCCACCGUGGCUUCGACGGGUAGCCGGCCUGAGAGGGCGACCGGCCACAUUGGGACUGAGAUACGGCCCAGACUCCUACGGGAGGCAGCAGUGGGGAAUAUUGCACAAUGGGCGCAAGCCUGAUGCAGCGACGCCGCGUGAGGGAUGGAGGCCUUCGGGUUGUAAACCUCUUUUAUCGGGGAGCAAGCGAGAGUGAGUUUACCCGUUGAAUAAGCACCGGCUAACUACGUGCCAGCAGCCGCGGUAAUACGUAGGGUGCAAGCGUUAUCCGGAAUUAUUGGGCGUAAAGGGCUCGUAGGCGGUUCGUCGCGUCCGGUGUGAAAGUCCAUCGCUUAACGGUGGAUCCGCGCCGGGUACGGGCGGGCUUGAGUGCGGUAGGGGAGACUGGAAUUCCCGGUGUAACGGUGGAAUGUGUAGAUAUC